rnacentral:rRNA from 2 species
ACAACGCGACCCCAGUCAGGCGG